GUGGUUUAAUUCGAAGCAACGCGAAGAACCUUACCAGGUCUUGACAUCCUUUGACCAUCCUAGAGAUAGGACUUUCCCUUCGGGGACAAAGUGACAGGUGGUGCAUGGUUGUCGUCAGCUCGUGUCGUGAGAUGUUGGGUUAAGUCCCGCAACGAGCGCAACCCUUAUUGUUAGUUGCCAUCAUUCAGUUGGGCACUCUAGCGAGACUGCCGCAGACAAUGCGGAGGAAGGUGGGGAUGACGUCAAAUCAUCAUGCCCCUUAUGACCUGGGCUACACACGUGCUACAAUGGAGAGUACAACGAGUCGCAAAGCCGCGAGGCUAAGCCAAUCUCUUAAAGCUCUUCUCAGUUCGGAUUGUAGGCUGCAACUCGCCUACAUGAAGCCGGAAUCGCUAGUAAUCGCGGAUCAGCACGCCGCGGUGAAUACGUUCCCGGG
rnacentral:rRNA from 1 species